rnacentral:ncRNA from 1 species
UAAAACCUCAGAGGUGGAUCUUACUUGGUAAGUGCUCAAAUCAACCUUUGCCUGUUGAUGCUCCCUAGAUGUUCUUAACCGAGUGUCCUGUGGGGGCUCAAAGCAUAUACUUUGAAAAAUGAGAGUGUUUGGAGCAGGAUCAAGCUGCUGUAUUCUGCAGAUAGAAUAGGACCCCUGGUUCUGCUCUGCUGGCUUUUGGAACUAAAGUCAUGAUUAAAAAAGAUGGCCCUGGGUAUUCAAAUUAUGUGGUUAGAGGUAAAAUUCUUGGACCUUUACAAGAUGGACCAGAGUGGAAGUGUUUGCCAAGAAUACUUUAUUUA